UUCUUCCUUUUUCUUCUUCUUCUUCUUCUUCUUCUUCUUCUUCUUCUCUUCUUUUUAUUUUUUUGGCUCUGUUUUUGAUCGAGGCAUCAAGCAACAAUGCAGACUCAACAGAAUAGAGAGUCUGUUUUUGCUCUGUUUUUUCUUCCAUUUUCUUCUUCUUCUCUUCUUUUUUUCUUUGCUUUCUUUUUGAUCGAGCAACACUCUAUUUUUCCUCCGUUCUGACUUCUGUCUUCCUUUUUUUUCUUCAGUUCUUCUCUCUUCUUCUUUCUCUUUUUGCUCUGUUUUUUGUUUUUCAGUUCCUUCAUAGCUUCACUGUUGGGCAGAGGCAGAGAACUUUAUUUCAAACCUGAAAUUUCCUCCUUUUUUAGUUAUAGAGUAGAAUUAAUUGCAUAUUGACUUGAUAAUUUUUUCCUAUAAAACAGUAUUGAAAUGACGUCAUCCGAUGGUAAUAAAAGAAAUGAUAUAGCUUGGAAUUAUGCUAUACAAGGUUCAUCAAGAUCCACAAUUAAAUGUGUGUUUUAUGAAAAAUAUACCAUGAUGGAAUAACUCGUCACAAACAACAUUUGAUUGGUGGAUUUAAAAAUGUAGUACAAUGUCCACUUUGUCCGCCUGAGGUUAGGGAGGAAGUAAAAGCAUUUGUUGAGAAGAAAAAUGUGACAAGAACUCAAAUGAGUUAUGAACCAUCGAUGAAUCUUAUUGAUGAAGAUGAUGAAAUGGGACCUCCUCCCCAAACUCAAAAAAUAUCUUGAAAUAGUUUUAGUGGGUCAUCCACGCGUACGGUGACAAAAGGUCCUAUCAAUCUUUAUUUCUCGGCAAAACAACAAGAAAAUUGAAAAGGUGAUUCUGGUUCAGGUUUAGAAGCCAAGAAGAUUUUGAGGGAUACGCGCCGUAAGUGCCUUUGCAACAUGGAUGUACGAUGCAUGGCUCCUUUUCAAUUGCGUUAACUACAAAACUUUUGAUAUGACCCAGGAAUGAAGCCUUCUAGCUAUCAUGAAGUUAGAGUAACUCAUCUUAAAAAAGAGGUGAAGAAGAUAGGCAAAAUUGUUGAGGAGCAUAGAGUGGAAUGGAACAAGUUUUGAUGUUCCAUUAUGAUGGAUAAAUGGACAACACGGAAUGGAAAAAUGGUCAUAUAUGUGCUGGUGAAUUCUCCAAGAGGUAGUAUUUUUCUUGAAUCUUACGAUGCUAGCAACUCUUCUACGGACACAACCAAAAUGUACAACUUGUUUGCAAAGACUAUUGAGAAAAUUGGAAAGGAAAAUGUUGUACAAGUUGUUACCGAUAACGCUAGUAAGAAUGUUAGUGCGGGUAAGAUGAUGCAAAGGUGUGCAUCCACAUAUUUGUUGGACUCCAUGUGCUGCCCAUUGUAUCAAUUUGAUAUUUGGUGACAUAUUCAAGGGAACCCAUAUGCUUCAGUUUUCACUUAGGCAGUCAAGAUAUAUUCUUACAUCAGUUAGAGGCCAUUGUUGUUGAAUUUGAUGAGGAAAUUUACAAAUGAAAGAAAUUUGGUGAGACCGGCCAAGACUAGAUUUGGAACGGCUUUCUUGACUUUGCAUAGUUUUUACUUGCAAAAGAAAAACUUGAGAAAUCUAGUUCUUUCAAAUGAAUGGAAAGAAAAUAGAUAUGCAAAGGAAGCUGAAGGGAAAGAAACUGCCAAAAUUUUUAUUUCUCCAUUUUGGAAUAACGUCGUUCAGGCUCUUAAAGUUGGUGGUCCUUUGAUUAGGGUACUUCGUAUGGUGGAUGGGGAGAGAAAACCACCAAUGGGCUAUCUUUAUGAAGCUAUGGAUAGAGCCAAAGGAACUAUUGAAGCGUCAUUUAAGCGUGAUAUGAGGAAGUAUGAGAAAGUUUUUGAGAUUAUUGAUAGAAGGUGGUCGGAUCAAUUCCAUCGACCUUGGCGUGCAACAGGCCAUAUUUUGAACCCGGGAUUGUUUUACAAGAAUAAUAGAGAUGGCACUUUAGAUUCAGAGGUGUGAGUUGGAUACCAUAAAUGUCUUGAGAAGUUGGUCCCCGAUGCAACGAUUGUAGAUCAAAUAGGGGAGGAGUUUGGUAAGUACACACAAGCAGAUGGCCUAUUUGGUUUACAGACGACUAUUAGAGCCAGAGACAUAAGGUUGCAAGUUGAAUGGUGGAUGCAAUUUGGUCCUCAAACUCCAAACUUGCAAAAGUUUGCCGUCAAAGUACUAAGCUUAACUUCUAGUGCAAAAUUGGAACGUAUUUGAGCAUGUAAGAAGCAAAUUUAUUAUAAUAAUAUAUUCUAUAUUGUAUUAUUAGUGGCAUCUAUUAAUUAAUCUCUACAACUUAUGCGCAAAUUCACUCCAAGAAAAGGAAUAGACUUGAGUUAUCGCAUCUCAAUGAUCUAGUGUAUAUUAAAUACAAUAGAACAUUGAAGCGUCGUUAUGACGCUCGCGAUACCAUUGAUCCAAUUUUGUUGGAUAACAUUGACGAGGCAAAUGAAUAUGGUUAACUGGAGCCCCACAAAUCAUGAAGAUGAACAAGUGUAUGUAGGAGAUGAUCUCGAUUAGGGUACUGUUUUCUAAGUUGCUCGGACUCUUCACUUUCAGUGCCGCACCCGUGUCGACACGACGUGGGUGUGGGUAUGGGUGUGGGAUCCGUGUUGGAUCUGGUCAACCGAUUUUGGCUACUUUGACCAAAAUCAACGGAGAAAUUUGGGACAGAUACAAUGAUUUUUGAAAACAAAUCAAAAGCUAGGGUGAUAUGGAAGAAAAUGGAAUACCUUGUAUAUAUAAAUUUCUAUGUCAGUCCUUUUCCUUUUA